UAAUACAUGCAAGUCGUACGCUUCUUUUUCCACUUGAGCUUGCUCCACCGGAAAAAGAAGAGUGGCGAACGGGUGAGUAACACGUGGGUAACCUGCCCAUCAGAAGGGGAUAACACUUGGAAACAGGUGCUAAUACCGUAUAACAAUCGAAACCGCAUGGUUUUGAUUUGAAAGGCGCUUUCGGGUGUCGCUGAUGGAUGGACCCGCGGUGCAUUAGCUAGUUGGUGAGGUAACGGCUCACCAAGGCUACGAUGCAUAGCCGACCUGAGAGGGUGAUCGGCCACAUUGGGACUGAGACACGGCCCAAACUCCUACGGGAGGCAGCAGUAGGGAAUCUUCGGCAAUGGACGAAAGUCUGACCGAGCAACGCCGCGUGAGUGAAGAAGGUUUUCGGAUCGUAAAACUCUGUUGUUAGAGAAGAACAAGGAUGAGAGUAACUGUUCAUCCCUUGACGGUAUCUAACCAGAAAGCCACGGCUAACUACGUGCCAGCAGCCGCGGUAAUACGUAGGUGGCAAGCGUUGUCCGGAUUUAUUGGGCGUAAAGCGAGCGCAGGCGGUUUCUUAAGUCUGAUGUGAAAGCCCCCGGCUCAACCGGGGAGGGUCAUUGGAAACUGGGAGACUUGAGUGCAGAAGAGGAGAGUGGAAUUCCAUGUGUAGCGGUGAAAUGCGUAGAUAUAUGGAGGAACACCAGUGGCGAAGGCGGCUCUCUGGUCUGUAACUGACGCUGAGGCUCGAAAGCGUGGGGAGCAAACAGGAUUAGAUACCCUGGUAGUCCACGCCGUAAACGAUGAGUGCUAAGUGUUGGAGGGUUUCCGCCCUUCAGUGCUGCAGCUAACGCAUUAAGCACUCCGCCUGGGGAGUACGACCGCAAGGUUGAAACUCAAAGGAAUUGACGGGGGCCCGCACAAGCGGUGGAGCAUGUGGUUUAAUUCGAAGCAACGCGAAGAACCUUACCAGGUCUUGACAUCCUUUGACCACUCUAGAGAUAGAGCUUCCCCUUCGGGGGCAAAGUGACAGGUGGUGCAUGGUUGUCGUCAGCUCGUGUCGUGAGAUGUUGGGUUAAGUCCCGCAACGAGCGCAACCCUUAUUGUUAGUUGCCAUCAUUUAGUUGGGCACUCUAGCAAGACUGCCGGUGACAAACCGGAGGAAGGUGGGGAUGACGUCAAAUCAUCAUGCCCCUUAUGACCUGGGCUACACACGUGCUACAAUGGGAAGUACAACGAGUCGCGAAGUCGCGAGGCUAAGCUAAUCUCUUAAAGCUUCUCUCAGUUCGGAUUGUAGGCUGCAACUCGCCUACAUGAAGCCGGAAUCGCUAGUAAUCGCGGAUCAGCACGCCGCGGUGAAUACGUUCCCGGGCCUUGUACACACCGCCCGUCACACCACGAGAGUUUGUAACACCCGAAGUCGGUGAGGUAACCUUUUGGAGCCAGCCGCCUAAGGUGGGAUAGAUGAUUGGGGUGAA
rnacentral:rRNA from 1 species